CCUACGGGAGGCUGCAGUCGAGAAUUAUUCACAAUGGGGGAAACCCUGAUGGUGCGACGCCGCGUGGGGGAAUGAAGGUCUUCGGAUUGUAAACCCCUGUCAUGUGGGAGCAAAUUAAAAAGAUAGUACCACAAGAGGAAGAGACGGCUAACUCUGUGUCAGCAGCCGCGGUAAUACAGAGGUCUCAAGCGUUGUUCGGAAUCACUGGGCGUAAGGCGUGCGUAGGCUGUUUCGUAAGUCGUGUGUGAAAGGCGCGGGCUCAACCCGCGGACGGCACAUGAUACUGCGAGACUAGAGUAAUGGAGGGGGAACCGGAAUUCUCGGUGUAGCAGUGAAAUGCGUAGAUAUCGAGAGGAACACUCGUGGCGAAGGCGGGUUCCUGGACAUUAACUGACGCUGAGGCACGAAGGCCAGGGGAGCGAAAGGGAUUAGAUACCCGGGUAGUC
rnacentral:rRNA from 1 species